UUUUUUUUUUUUUUUUGAGACAGUCUCAGAGUCUGAGGGUCUCACUAUGUAGCACCGCCUAGCUUGGGAUUUUCUAUGUAGACCAGGCUAGCCUUGAAUUUAUAUUAGCCACCUGCUUUUGUCUCAUGAGGAUUGAGAUUAUAGUUGUGGGCCACCACACCCAGCUCAACUUUUAUUCUUGAAAUUGAGAUUAAAAAUUGUAAAUUAUCUCCUUGACUUUAAAAUAUUUUUAUUUUAUGCUGCUAGAGAUUAAACUCAGGACUUCACAUAUAUUAGACAAGUGAUCUACAAUCAAUUUCUCCUAUCUUGCCAUUCAUUAAUUUUUAUACUUGAUUUUAGCAAAAAGGAUAAGCAGUGAUAAUUUAAAACUUUUUUUUAGAUAUAUUUUAUAUAUGGGUGUUUUGCUUAAAUAGACACUCCUGGCACUCUCAGAGGCCAGAAGAUGUCAUUAAAUCCCCUGGAACUAGAGUUAUAGAUGGUUGUAAGCUGUUGUUUUGGUUCUGGGAACUGAACCUGCAUCCUCUACAAGAGUAACACGCAAUUAACUACUGAGCCCUUCAUCUCUCCAGCUCUGGUAUAUGUUUCUCAAAGUCUAUUUUCCUCCCACAGAGUUUAAACUUUUUUAUGGGUAUGAUUGCUUUGCCUAACAUUUCUAUAUAUGUACCAUGUGUGCGUAGUGCUGAAGAGUUCAAAAGAGGACACUGGAUCCCCUGGAACUGGAGUCCUAACAUGGGAGCCACUGUGUGGUUGGUUGCAGGGAAUCAAACCUAGGUUCUCUACAAGAGCAGCUUGUAAUCUUUGAGCUGCUCACCAGCCUCAAUUUGUAAUUUUCCAAAUUUGUUAUUGUACAUGUGUGUUGUUGAGAAUAUCUCAAUCUGGGGUUCUUACCUUGCCUUUGACCAUUCAGUUCCCGGAUAAAAGAACACACAACUUUUAUAUUUAUAGUAAGUGUUAAUCAGCACAAGAGCUGGGCAGAUAUCUAUCCUUUAUGCUAUUAUGUUUAUUUCCCAGCCAAUAAUCCAAUUAUAUAAUUUGACAUGUUUCAUCUUUGCUGCUCUUAACUCCAAUUAGCCAACCAACAUGGCCAUUAUUUUAAGUUUCUUCUCUCUCCAUCUUCUUUUUUUCCAUCUCAUGGUUCUCCAACUCUAAGCCUGGGAACCCUAAACUCUGCCUUUGUCUUGUCUGCCCAGCUCUUGGCUGUUGGUAUCUUUAUUUACCAAUCAGGGAUAACUUCAGGAGCAAGGUCACAUAGCAUUACCUGGGUCUAUGUGUAAUCUGUGGGAGCAACCAGUACUUAGCAUAGCAAGAGACCAAACCUCAACCCAUGUGUCCAUGAUGUAUUAUGUGAGUGUUUGCCACAGCGUGUUGUGAAGCUCAUCUUUGUGCUUCCACCUUUACAUGGGUUUUGGAGAAUCAAACUCAGGCCACAGGGCUUAUAUGGCAAACAUGUUUGUUUACCUGUCAUGGCAUCUCGUUGAUCUGAAGUAAAUAUUUUUGUUUUAUUUUAAUUUGACUUUCAGAAUUGGGGAAACUAUGUAAAUCUACUAAAAGGAGAACUGAAAAUUAUACAAAGUAUGAUACUUUCCCUGCCUUGAACCCUGUGCAAUGUGCCAUGCUCUGGGUGGUAGGUAUGCUGAUAGCUGCCCAGUGAUCUCAGGCAUGUUAUGCUGUGGCUGUUUUAUCACUUCCUCUCACUGUAGGAACAUUGGUUCAUUUGGGUGACAUAGUUCCAUAAGCACAGUAGUGGACUCUAACCUAUAUUGGUGAGCUACACAUAUAUUUGAUUUCUUAGUUACAGGAUUUGCUUAAUUAUCCUGGAGGCCCGCACAAACUCUCUAUUGACUUUAUUUUUUCUUAAAGUAACAGUGCAAAGUUGUUCUACCAAUGGUUUGUCUGUGAGCUAAUCAUACCCUGCUUGUCUUUGAGUGCCUGGGAAUAAUGUUCCUUAAUUGCAGGUCACUGAAGCCAAACUAAUUGCUUGUUGAGCACUUAGACGCCUUUUUAAUCUGCUGUAUAAUGGCUCCUCUAACAGAAGAACACAAUAUAUUGUUAUCCAAGCAGAGCUCAUUAGUAUCAUUGCAGACACAACAGAAAGCCUGUUUUUGUUCAUAAUCUAGCUAAUAAAAGGAAAGAAAGGCAUCGCAGACAGAUGUAAUUAACAAGUACUGUUUUAAGUGUGCCUCCAAAUCCAUUUCAGAAACUAUACAUAAAAUGCUUGUUGUGCUUCAUGUUUGUGUGAUAGCCAUGUGUGUGUGGGGCUGGACUAGGUGGCCAGGUCAGUGAGUGUACCUGUGUAGCAAAGUGGAGGCCAGAGGAAGAUACUGGAAUCCUUCUUCAUCAGUCUCCAGCAGAUCCCCAGUGGUCUCUCCUCCUUUAGUGCUGUGCAGCCUUGCCUGGCUUUACCCAUGGGUGCUGGGGAUUUGAAUUAGCUCCUCAUGCUUGCACAGCAAAUAUUCUUACCCACGGAGCCAUUUCCCUAGCCCUAUAAUGACUUUCUUUAUCAAGUAUUGUUUUGUUUUGUGCUUAAGAUAUGUUUUUCAUGGCAAUAAUAAUGUGAUCGUUUGAGACAGUCAGUUGCUUCAGUCUAUGGGGUCUACCCUACAUCCAGUGACUUUGUAGUUUAUUAAAGUAUAAGAAAUAAAAAUAAAUGAAUGUCAUUCUCCCCUCACAAGUAUAACUGUACAGAAACCUUUUCGUAUGUUGGUGAAGUUAGUCCUUGCUUUCUUGUUGUUUCUUUGGACUAACAGGUAGGACAGACUUCUUUCAACACUUCAUUAGUGAUUUUAUUAAUCUAGUUGGUGUUACUGAGAAGCUACUGAGUGCCAGAAACUGUUGUAGGUGUUGGAGAUAUCACAAUUUAUAUUUUUAUCUUUAUACUACAUAUUUAGCU
rnacentral:lncRNA from 1 species